GAAAAGGCAGGUAGGAUUAAGCCAUAGUAAGGAAAAAACUGUGCUACCUGUGAGCCCCGUCCAAGGACGUUAAAAAAAGUCAGGCCAUCAAAACAUGCCACGGCGUGAGUAAACCGUGCAGACUGUAGCUCCACCUGAGGAGGUGUAAAAAACCUGGGAGGCCACAAACCAUGGAAGAUGGACGCACGGCGUAGUGGACUAGCGGUUAGAGGACACCCCUCC
rnacentral:lncRNA from 1 species